rnacentral:rRNA from 1 species
UGCAGUCGAGCGAGAUCUUCGGAUCUAGCGGCGGACGGGUUAGUAACGCGUGGGAACGUACCCAAAGGUAGGGAAUAGCCACUGGAAACGGUGAGUAAUACCCUAUGUGCCCUUCGGGGGAAAGAUUUAUCGCCUUUGGAUCGGCCCGCGUUAGAUUAGAUAGUUGGUGGGGUAACGGCCUACCAAGUCUACGAUCUAUAGCUGGUUUUAGAGGAUGAUCAGCAACACUGGGACUGAGACACGGCCCAGACUCCUACGGGAGGCAGCAGUGGGGAAUCUUGGACAAUGGGGGCAACCCUGAUCCAGCCAUGCCGCGUGAGUGAUGAAGGCCUUAGGGUCGUAAAGCUCUUUCGCCUGUGAAGAUAAUGACUGUAGCAGGUAAAGAAACCCCGGCUAACUCCGUGCCAGCAGCCGCGGUAAUACGGAGGGGGUUAGCGUUGUUCGGAAUUACUGGGCGUAAAGCGCGCGUAGGCGGACUGGAAAGUUGGGGGUGAAAUCCCAGGGCUCAACCCUGGAACUGCCUCCAAAACUAUCAGUCUAGAGUUCGAGAGAGGUGAGUGGAAUUCCGAGUGUAGAGGUGAAAUUCGUAGAUAUUCGGAGGAACACCAGUGGCGAAGGCGGCUCACUG